AGUGAACGCUGGCGGUAGGCCUAACACAUGCAAGUCGAACGGCAGCACAGUAAGAGCUUGCUCUUACGGGUGGCGAGUGGCGGACGGGUGAGGAAUACAUCGGAAUCUACUUUUUCGUGGGGGAUAACGUAGGGAAACUUACGCUAAUACCGCAUACGACCUACGGGUGAAAGCAGGGGAUCUUCGGACCUUGCGCGAUUGAAUGAGCCGAGGUCGGAUUAGCUAGUUGGCGGGGUAAAGGCCCACCAAGGCGACGAUCCGUAGCUGGUCUGAGAGGAUGAUCAGCCACACUGGAACUGAGACACGGUCCAGACUCCUACGGGAGGCAACAGUGGGGAAUAUUGGACAAUGGGCGCAAGCCUGAUCCAGCCAUACCGCGUGGGUGAAGAAGGCCUUCUGGUUGGAAAGCCCUUUUGUUGGGAAAGAAAAGCAGCAGGUUAAUACCCCGCUGUUCUGACGGUACCCAAAGAAUAAGCACCGGCUAACUUCGUG
rnacentral:rRNA from 1 species